GAUGAACGCUAGCGGCAGGCCUAAUACAUGCAAGUCGAACGGGAUCUGAGGGUAGCUUGCUACCCGAUUUGAGAGUGGCGCACGGGUGCGUAACGCGUGAGCAACCUACCCAUAUCAGGGGGAUAGCCCGAAGAAAUUCGGAUUAACACCGCAUAAUAAUACGCUAACACAUGUUGAUGUAUUUAAAUAUUUAUAGGAUAUGGAUGGGCUCGCGUGACAUUAGCUAGUUGGUAAGGUAACGGCUUACCAAGGCGACGAUGUCUAGGGGCUCUGAGAGGAGAAUCCCCCACACUGGUACUGAGACACGGACCAGACUCCUACGGGAGGCAGCAGUAAGGAAUAUUGGUCAAUGGGCGCAAGCCUGAACCAGCCAUGCCGCGUGCAGGAUGACUGCCCUAUGGUUGUAAACUGCUUUUGUUAGGGAAUAAACCUUCUUACGUGUAAGGAGCUGAAUGUACCUAAAGAAUAAGGAUCGGCUAACUCCGUGCCAGCAGCAGCCGCGG
rnacentral:rRNA from 1 species